CCUACGGGUGGCAGCAGUGGGGAAUAUUGCACAAUGGGCGCAAGCCUGAUGCAGCCAUGCCGCGUGUGUGAAGAAGGCCUUCGGGUUGUAAAGCACUUUCAGCGGGGAGGAAGGCGUUAAGGUUAAUAACCUUGGCGAUUGACGUUACCCGCAGAAGAAGCACCGGCUAACUCCGUGCCAGCAGCCGCGGUAAUACGGAGGGUGCAAGCGUUAAUCGGAAUUACUGGGCGUAAAGCGCACGCAGGCGGUCUGUCAAGUCGGAUGUGAAAUCCCCGGGCUCAACCUGGGAACUGCAUUCGAAACUGGCAGGCUAGAGUAUUGUAGAGGGGGAUAGAAUUCCAGGUGUAGCGGUGAAAUGCGUAGAGAUCUGGAGGAAUACCGGUGGCGAAGGCGGCCCCCUGGACAAAGACUGACGCUCAGGUGCGAAAGCGUGGGGAGCAAACAGGGUUAGAUACCCCGGUAGUC
rnacentral:rRNA from 1 species